GACGUAGGGGGCCAGCGUUGCUCGGAAUUACUGGGCGUAAAGGGUUCGUAGGCGGUGCGGCAAGUUGGGAGUGAAAUCUCUGGGCUUAACUCAGAGGCUGCUUCCAAAACUGCCGCGCUUGAGUGCGGGAGAGGCGAGUGGAAUUGCAGGUGUAGCGGUGAAAUGCGUAGAUAUCUGCAGGAACACCCGUGGCGAAAGCGGCUCGCUGGACCGCAACUGACGCUGAGGAACGAAAGCUAGGGGAGCAAACAGG
rnacentral:rRNA from 1 species